rnacentral:rRNA from 1 species
UACGGGGGAUGCAAGCGUUAUCCGGAUUUAUUGGGUUUAAAGGGUGCGUAGGCUGUGAGGUAAGUCAGCGGUGAAAUGCCCCCGCUCAACGGGGUGAAGUGCCAUUGAUACUGCCUUGCUGGAAUGCGGAUGCCGUGGGAGGAAUGUGUGGUGUAGCGGUGAAGUGCAUAGAUAUCACACAGAACACCGAUUGCGAAGGCAUCUCACGAAUCCGCUAUUGACGCUGACGCACGAAAGCGUGGGUAUCAAACAGG